rnacentral:rRNA from 1 species
UACGUAGGGUGCAAGCGUUGUCCGGAAUUAUUGGGCGUAAAGAGCUCGUAGGCGGUCUGUCGCGUCUGCUGUGAAAACUCGGGGCCUAACCCCGGUUCUGCAGUGGGUACGGGCAGACUAGAGUGCAGUAGGGGAGACUGGAAUUCCUGGUGUAGCGGGUGAAAUGCGCAGAUAUCAGGAGGAACACCGGUGGCGAAGGCGGGUUGCUGGAGCCGGGCCGACGCUGAGACGCGAAAGCGCGGGGAGCGAACGGG